AGGAAGUAAUAAUAAAACAAACCUAUUUAUUUUGGUGGCAUUUCAUCUAAUUAGAGGAACUUGUUUAAUAAUCGACAACCCCCGAUAAUUUUCACUUACAUUUAAAGUUUAUAUAUCGCCAUCUAAAGAACUAAUUACAAAACAUUAUUCUAAAUAAAAUAAUAAAAAGUUAGGUCAAGGUGUAACCUAUAUUUAAGAUUUUAAUGAGUUACCUUAAACAUUAUUUAAGAAUUAUUAAAUAAUAAUUUUUUAUUAAAAAGGAUUUAACAGUAAUAUUAAAAAUAAUAAUUUUAUAUAAAAAAAACAAUUAAAUGUGC
rnacentral:rRNA from 1 species